rnacentral:rRNA from 1 species
ACCCGCAAGGGAGGUAGCUGUUUACGGUGUGAUCGGUGAUUGGGGUGAAGUCGUAACAAGGUAGCUGUAGGUGAACCUGCAGAAGGAUCA